UAAUAUUAACAAAUUAUUAAUAUUAACAUCAAUGAUUCGACAUAUUAAUGCAUCUUACAUUGAGCAAUGAUAACAUCAUUUUUGUGCCGCUUGUGAUGUUGUCAACUCUUUUAUAUUUUAUACACAAGGCUGUUCUCGGUUUCACACCGAACCAAGAACGUUACUCUAAAUACCAAAAGGUCUGUCUCUUCUCAUAUCUCUUCAAGUUAAAGCAUAAGUUUUUAGGCUUGAAAGUUGAAAUAUAAUUAUGAAACAAAAUUCCUCAGUUUUUACUACAAAAUAACGCAUUUUUUAGCAGCUAUCCAUGUAAUUAGAAGAAAUUUUCUGGGAACUUAAAUACAGCAGUGAAUAGAUGAUGCUCCUAAAAGACAAUCCGAUUGCUCAUUUAGAUAAUGUUGCAGGGAAGAAAUCUCAAACCUUAUCAUGUAACGCACCACUGUUAUCACAGAAGUAGGUCUUAGCCUGAUCUUGCUCACUUCCCCAUGUGAGUUAAUAUUCUGCUGAUCAGAGCUUCCUUUUUCCCAGAAACAGGAAGAUUGUGCGCUGUCAAGUAGAGCUUCAACUCCGCCACUGUCAAGUCCUUCAACUGUCCAUUGUCAGCAAGGUCAGCCCAGUCAUAAUUUGCAGACUCAUUGGCAGCAUUUUCAGCAGCUGCUUUCCUUUUUUUGGAGGCCUCAUUUGCUUUUCCAUUGCCCACAGAGUUGCUUUCCUCAUCAUACUUGUCUCCAUAAACAGAAAGCUUAAACUCUUCUAUUGCCUUAACAACUCCUAGCCUAGCCAUGCCUUCCUCAUCAGGAAGUGUUUCAUCUAUGGUGUCUGGUAUCUCUUCUUCUUCUAGAGCAAGUGCCUGCAACAUUGCGUAGUGUCUCUGAAGAGCCGGGUUAGCAAAUUGGCAUACUGAAAAAUCUUUCAAGUAAAUACGUUUAAUUAAAUCAGCAGCCUUUUUAAUGUGGUCAUCAGUUGCACGGGGUACCCUCACAUUUGACUCUGAAUGAAACUCUUCAAUAAGUCUGACAUCAUCAGUAUAUGGAAGAUAUAUCAUGUGCAUUCCUGGUGGCUCAACCUGACCACCAGCACUAAUAAUCUCAUCUUGUGCAACAAGGGCAACCAAUCGGGGAUGAAAGGAGCUGCCACAAUAUGCAACAGCAAAACGAUUAAGCCGCAACAUGGAUCUAUGCAAAGCAAUGAAAAUGCGAGUGCUACCAACCACUUCCUUGUCACUAGGAAAAACAAAUGUUGAGGGCCUCAGGUUGUGAUAAUCUUUCAAGCAACUUAAUGGCUUGAAUCCAAGAAGACGAAGAUGUCCAGUUGAAACUCUUUUUAUCUCUGAUAAUUCCUCCACAGAGAAGAUAAUAUUCUCAUUUUUAUAAGAUUGAGAGAGCUUUGUUGGUUCAUGCAUCAAUGCACCCGUAUCCGCACAAAUGAAAGAUCGUUCCGUCUUUAGAGGACGAUUGGUAACAGAAUCAAGCCACAUAAUUGCCCCUGGUGUAGUUGGGCGUAUCAAAGCAUACAUAUUCAAUUCAAUUGACAAACCAUUUGCAAUUAACAAAGUGAUUCUUCUUACUAUGCGCUUUGCGAACAUUUGUUUUCUCAGUUGAUCUUUCAUAUCUUCCAAUUUUUGUCCUGCAGAGGGCAUAAAUUGAGCAGCAUCAUCAUCUUCCAAUCCAAUCAAUUGAGCAUAAAAGAGUGAAACAUUGAACUCCUCAUCAGGCCGACCUAAGGGGAGAAGUUCAAUUGAAAUCCCAAGAUCUUGUGCAUCUUUAGCUCGCUGCAGUGUGGUUCUCGUCAUAUCUGCUUUUGCUGCACCCUUGAUACUUCCAAAAGGGUCAUCUUCAUUUGUAAACAAAAGUAUCCUUUUACGAGCAGUUCUUGAGGAUCCUUUACGCAAAAGUGCUUGUGCCACCCAAAGAGCAUUGUAAAGGGAAUUCUCCCGAGACCCAGACAAAAUGCCAUACUGACUGCCAAUGUCUUUCAUGAAAGAUUCCUCUAUGCAAUCAAAAUCCUUUAUAAGCCUUGCAGUUGGCCUGUCUAGAUACUCCCUUUCAACAACAUUGUAUACAAAAACACCAUUUACGUCUUGCAAAUUUCUCUUUUCCCUAGUGUUGAAGAAGCAGAUCGCAACUUCAUCAUAUGAUCUAUUAAUGAUUUGAGUCUUCAGAGAUUGUGCUAUACAACUGACAGCAAUGUGGAAAUGAGUUUCAUUCUUUUGAUCUUCCUGUCAAUAUUGAUAAACCAAGAAAUGUCAAAAAAAUUACAUCCCAAAGACAAACGGUGACAGCUUUUUCUAAUGUCUGAAAUCUGAAUAUUCAUGCAUAGCACAUGAAAAGCAACCAAUUUGACCAAGAAUCACUAUACUGGACUGAUCUAGUAAUUUUAUCUUAUCCCAUGCUUUAGUAGCACUUUGAACCCAUAAAGUUAGGGUUGAGGAAGGGGAAAAACUAAUUUACCAAGCAAGACACAUGGACAUUCUCAUCUCCAUUCAAUAUAGGAUCCCAUUUCACAAGCUAGGGAUAAUUUCAUGAAGAACCCUACAACCGGCAGUAGCAUAGAAUAUUUUGUCAUCAAGAAUUAAGGUAAUAAAAUGCCACAAAACUGUCUCCCUGUCGCACACCACACAAUACACAUCCACAUCAAGGAUCCAUGAACUACAAGUAUACUCAGUAUUUAUGCACAGAAAUUAAUUCAGAUUCAAACUGAAACAAACUUUAACAGCAGCAGACUCUAAUGAAAAAUUUAGUUAACUAGUUAUAGACUAGCAACACAAAUUAAACCAUCACAAAAUCAACUAAUUGAAUUAAACUAUUACUAAAGUUACAUUUGGUAAAGCAUAAUGCAAUGCAAUGUGAUCAAUUAUACAAUAAACUCAAAAUUACAAUGUAAUGUAAUUUCAUUAUGUUGCUAUUUUUUGUUGCAAAAUAAAAAUACAAGUAAUGUAAUGAUCAUUUUUAUUUUAAUAUUUAAUUUAUUUAUAGUGUUAAUAAUAAAUGAUAGUGAUUGCAAUGAUUGAUAGUGUGGUGGUGGCAGCAAUAGCGGUAGUUACAUAAUGGUGGUGGCAAGGUGAGACGGUGGCCAAGUGAUAGUAGAGAUGAUAGUAGUUAAAUAGUGAUAGUGAUAAUAGUGACAGAGUAGCAGUGGUAGUGGUAGUGGUAGUAGUGGAUCUAGCGGUAACAAUAGUGAUGAUGACAGGGUGGAGUAAUAGUAGUAGCAGCAUUAGUGACCAGAUAGUGGUAAGGUUGACAAUAAAUGAAAAAAUUCAAAAUAAAUAAUCAUGAUUACAUCUAUUUUUGUAUAUAAUGAUCAUUUCGUUACUUUAAGCAUAAUUAAUUACAUCAUAUAAUUGUCAUUCCAUUACAUCAAUUUUUUUUGCGUUAUCAAACAUCGUAAUCAAAUAUGCAAUAUAAUCUCAAUUACAUUACAAUUUUGAUUACAUCAUAUCAAACAUAGUCUAAAAGUCUUGGAGUCUGUUGAAAUCUCGGUUGUUGAAGUACAAAUAGAUCUUUUUAUUAGAAGCCGUGGCUAUGGGAAUUGCAGGAAAUCCAACAUAAUCUCCCUCGGACUUAGUUUUGCAUAUUUCUGCAACAUAUUGAAAGAGCUGAUGUUCUUUGUUGUAUGGUUGAUUCAAAUAGUCCUCA
rnacentral:misc_RNA from 1 species